ensembl:lncRNA
GCGUAGCCGUAGCCGCUGUGUCCGAGAUCGAACUUGUACGGGAAACCAGCGGCAGCGCGGGUGGUGGAGGCGAGGAGGUGGCCGGUGCACUCGGAGUUUCCUGCUUAGGAAAGUCAGCGAUGGCAUUGCGACACACAAAUUAAUUUCCAUCUCCCUGACACCGUUCCCCCGGAUAUAAAACCAGCCCACUGGAUCCCGACUUCGCAGGAUGUCUCCGCUUGGGGAUGGGGCGGUUGCACCGCGCUGUGGUCCGCAGGAUCCUAAAGAGUUGGCAACGCCGUCUAGACUGCAUUCUGCGAAACCGACGGGACCGCGUGGCAAGCUGGCUACCCGCCGACCUGGGCUGCCGGAGGUCUCCGGGGCUACUGCUAACGCAACCCAGAGGGAGGUCGGGAGGACCAGAAGCCGACGUUUACAAAGCCGGAAGCUCCUUUGGCUCGACCCGGACCGCCCAGCGCGAGAGGCAGGCACCUGGCGCGGCGCGGGCCCCACUGAGGCCUCGGUGGCGUGGACGUGUGCGAGUGUCCGCGCCUGGGAGCACGGCGGCCCCAAGCUGCCCUCGCCGCUCUUCUCGACGUGGUCUCCGAGUAAACCUAGCUCGGAUUUCACCGCCCGCCGGCGCUGGCUCGGAGCCCCCUCCACGCCGCCCAUCGCGCAGCCCGCCUGCCCUUCGCCGAGCCGGGGCCUGAGCGGUCCAUUCCCGGGUGUCUCCUUGGGAACGUUCCCUGGGGAAAGGGGGGCUGAACCAACUUCCCAGCUGCCAGUUCCAUUUGUUGCGCUUUUUUCCUUCGACACAAUAAAAGUCAAAUUAAUUGAUUCAUACCAUUAAUUACGGCGCGUAGCGUGAAAAGCGACGCUUCCCCUCCGUUAGAGAUCCAUUGUGCUAAUCUCUUGUUCAAUCAGUGUUACCAUCUGAUGCCGGGGCCGGCCCUUACAGAAACUUUUCGACUCGAUUAGCUCAAUGAUGAGCCGCGCAGGACCAACUGGCUGCGGCCUCGACGUCCCGCGCCCGAGCCGGCCUCGCCGCUCACUAUGGCUUUUCCGCCGAGGCUACGGGUUUCUCCGCGGCCGCGGGCUUCUUUCUCCCGGGCGGUCGGUAGCUGUAGCCCAGCCUCCCGGGACGGGAAGGAAGCCUUGCGCGGCCCUGGCGGGAGACAGGAAAGUUCUCGCCGCGGGAGGCCGCCGGGGCGCGCACGGGCCCGGGCUGGAGGCCGCCUGGGUUUGGGGUGGAUGAAUUCAGUUUGCGCGUAAUUGAGGUUUGCAGCCCCAAAGCCUGCAAGUUGUCAGUAAGACUCUUCCGUGGAGGGCGAGGAGGGACAGUGUGGGAGAGGCAGCAGACAUUUGGGGCGGGGGAGAGGGGUAUGCGCGUUUUUCUGAGGCUCAAGGAGUUGCGGAACAGGAGGUAGAAGGAGAAUGAGCGCACGCACACAUACAGUUAGGAGUGAGUGACUGCUUGGGUCCCAGCGAGCAAACUUUCCAGGAGAGGCGUCAAGAGGAAGUUGGCAGCGGCUGUCUCACCUGCUCAGGUGUGUGAUACAUUUCACCCAGAAGAGAGGGGAAUGAGAUUGAAAGUCCCUUUCGGGAUCUCCCAGAGUGGGCAGAGGACGGAACACCCGGCUGGGGGAGCCACUGGGACUGGGUGGUCGGGGGUGGGGGUAGGAUGGGAAGGAAAUUGAGACAUCGCCCGGGA